AGGAUGAACGCUGGCGGUAUGCUUAACACAUGCAAGUCGAACGGUGUUUUCGGACACAGUGGCGGACGGGUGAGUAACGCGUGAGAAUCUGGCUCUAGGUCGGGGACAACCACUGGAAACGGUGGCUAAUACCGGAUGUGCCGAGAGGUGAAAGGCUUGCUGCCUAGAGAUGAGCUCGCGUCUGAUUAGCUAGUAGGUGGGGUAAGAGCCUACCUAGGCGACGAUCAGUAGCUGGUCUGAGAGGAUGAUCAGCCACACUGGGACUGAGACACGGCCCAGACUCCUACGGGAGGCAGCAGUGGGGAAUUUUCCGCAAUGGGCGAAAGCCUGACGGAGCAAUACCGCGUGAGGGAGGAAGGCUCUUGGGUUGUAAACCUCUUUUCUCAGGGAAGAACACAAUGACGGUACCUGAGGAAUCAGCAUCGGCUAACUCCGUGCCAGCAGCCGCGGUAAUACGGAGGAUGCAAGCGUUAUCCGGAAUGAUUGGGCGUAAAGCGUCCGCAGGUGGCUAUGUAAGUCUGCUGUUAAAGAGUGAGGCUCAACCUCAUAAGAGCAGUGGAAACUACAUAGCUAGAGUGCGUUCGGGGCAGAGGGAAUUCCUGGUGUAGCGGUGAAAUGCGUAGAUAUCAGGAAGAACACCGGUGGCGAAAGCGCUCUGCUAGGCCGCAACUGACACUGAGGGACGAAAGCUAGGGGAGCGAAUGGGUUUAGAUACCCCAGUAGUCCUAGCCGUAAACGAUGGAUACUAGGCGUGGCUUGUAUCGACCCGAGCCGUGCCGUAGCUAACGCGUUAAGUAUCCCGCCUGGGGAGUACGCACGCAAGUGUGAAACUUA
rnacentral:rRNA from 1 species